AUACGUAGGGAGCGAGCGUUGUCCGGAUUUACUGGGUGUAAAGGGUGCGUAGGCGGGAUUACAAGUCAGGCGUGAAAUACCGGAGCUUAACUUCGGGGCUGCGCUUGAAACUGUAGUUCUUGAGUGAAGUAGAGGCAGGCGGAAUUCCUAGUGUAGCGGUGAAAUGCGUAGAUAUUAGGAGGAACACCAGUGGCGAAGGCGGCCUGCUGGGCUUUAACUGACGCUGAGGCACGAAAGCAUGGGGAGCAAACAGGAUUAGAUACCCUGGUAGUCCAUGCCGUAAACGAUGAUAGCUAGGUGUGGGGGGACUGACCCCUUCCGUGCCGGAGUAAACACAAUAAGCUAUCCACCUGGGGAGUACGACCGCAAGGUUGAA
rnacentral:rRNA from 1 species